rnacentral:rRNA from 1 species
GAUGAACGCUGGCGGCGUGCCUAAUACAUGCAAGUCGAGCGAACAGACGAGGAGCUUGCUCCUCUGACGUUAGCGGCGGACGGGUGAGUAACACGUGGAUAACCUACCUAUAAGACUGGGAUAACUUCGGGAAACCGGAGCUAAUACCGGAUAAUAUAUUGAACCGCAUGGUUCAAUAGUGAAAGACGGUUUUGCUGUCACUUAUAGAUGGAUCCGCGCCGCAUUAGCUAGUUGGUAAGGUAACGGCUUACCAAGGCGACGAUGCGUAGCCGACCUGAGAGGAUGAUCGGCCACACUGGAACUGAGACACGGUCCAGACUCCUACGGGAGGCAGCAGUAGGGAAUCUUCCACAAUGGGCGAAAGCCUGACGGAGCAACACCGCGUGAGUGAUGAAGGUCUUCGGAUCGUAAAACUCUGUUAUUAGGGAAGAACAAAUGUGUAAGUAACUAUGCACGUCUUGACGGUACCUAAUCAGAAAGCCACGGCUAACUUCGUG